rnacentral:lncRNA from 10 species
CUCUCCCAGCUGCGCCAGAGGGGGCGCGGUCUACAGCGCUGGGCUAACAUCCCGCCGCCGCCCGGAGCCGGGUCUUGCUCGCGCUCUCGCGAGAGAGCCGUCAUCUCUCCGGUGCCCGGGAGAGGGGCCGGGCGGGACGGUACAGCAACCGGAGGAACCUUGAUUCCCUGCCCCGCAAGCCCAGCACCGGUUUUGCCGCCUUGUCUCGAAGGGUCAACCAGGCCAUCUCCUGCCUCGGGACGGAGAGCGCCCUGGAAAAGGCGGAGGGGCCGACCUUAGUCACACAAGAGCGAUGGCAAGAUUUUCACCCAAGCCAUCUGACUUGGAACCCAUGGAUUAACCAACUGCCACUGGAGGCAAAUCCAGAGACCAAGGGAGCAGUUUAUACAGAAACAGAUGCCGGCAUUAACCCACAGGGAGUUAUUGUUACAGACUGAAGAAUAGAAAAAGAAAAAGCCAAAUAGAGCCUUAUUCCACCCAGCUUAGCUUCCAUAGAACAUUGUGAAUGAGAGAGUAGAUUCUUGAGAAAAUCCUGGGGUUACCCAGUUUUCAUGACUCGUUUCGUUAGACCAUCAUUUCCCAAAGUGUGUUCUUUAUAAAAAGUAGUUCUUCAGAAGGCUGGAAAGUAUUGUUUGGAAGGGGGUUCCGUGAUGAAGUCAGUUUGGAAUGCAGGCUUUACCCAGUUUUGAGAAGAUUCUUUGCAGGACUUCUCAGGGCCUUUGUGAAUCUCCAAAGAAAGAAUGUAGUGUGAAGUAUGAAAACUUUCUCCUGGCUGAUGGAACACACUUUGCAAAGCACUUCCACAGACCAAUAUGAUUUCCAGUAAGAGCUAAAUAAAUUUUGUUAGUUGUUAAGGCAUAAAACAUUAAUAUAGGAUAUUACAGUCCUAGGCUUACAUUACUUAAUUUGGAUUUUUUGCAAAAAUUAACUUUAAUGUGAAAAAUUAGGAGACAAUAUAGAGAAAAUUCAAGAGCCUCUCCAGAUAAAUUCUUAGAACUAAUGAGAAAGUUCACUAAAGUUUCUGGAUAUAAAAUGCCCAGGGCACCGGAGGGGGAAAUACUUUCUUGUAUAUUAAUAGCAAACAAUUAGAAUAAUUUUUAAAAUACCAUUUAUAAUAGUACCAAAAUCUAUGAAGUAUCUAAGAAUAAGUCUAUUAAAAUAUGGCCAAAACAUUCAUGGAGAAAACUUAUAGCCUUUAUUUAAAGACAUAAAAUAAUUCUUAAACAAAUGGAGACAUUAUUAAAUAUGUUUAUGGAUAAGAGAGACUCAAUGUAGUAAAGAUGUAAUCUUCUCCAUCUUUCACUUCCUUUGCUUCCUAAUUAAGACUUAUAUCGCUCUUGGCUGCGCACAGUGGCUCACACCUGUAAUCUCAGCACUUUGGGAGACCAAGGCUGGCAGAUCAUAUGAGGCCAGGAGUUCAAGACCAGCCUGGCCAAUAAGGCGAAACCUUAUCUCUACUAAAAAAUAAAAAAUAAUAAUAAAAAAAAAUAGCUGGAUGUAGUGGUUCAUGCCUAUAAUCCCAGCUACUUGGGAGUCUGAGGCAGGAGAAUCACUUGAACCUGGGCAGCAGAGGUUUCUGUGAACAAAGAUUGUGCCUCUACACUCCAGCCUGAGCAAGACUCCAUCUAAAAAAAAAAACAAAAAAACGUAUAUUGUUCUUCUCACCCUUCUUUCACUGUCAGAAUGUCUUCUGCCCAUCUUAGCAAGCCUCUAGUGAGACACAUUUUGGAGCUCCAUCUAAAGAUCCUCAAUAACCUGAUGUUUGUAAGGUUUCCAGUAAAGUACAAAAAGCUCUCAAGCUGGGCACGGUGGCUCAUGCCUGUAAUCCCAGCACUUUGGGAGGCCAAGGCGGGCGGAUCACGAGGUCAGGGGAUUGAGACCAUCCUGGCUAACACGGUGAAACCCUGUUUCUACUAAAAAUUCAAAAAAUUAGCCGGGCGUGGUGGCGGGCGCCUGUAGUCCCAGCUACUCAGGAGGCUGAAGCAGGAGAAUGGCGUGAACCUGGGAGGCGGAGCUUGCAGUGAGCUGAGAUUGCACCACUGCACUCCAGUCUGGGGGACAGAGCACGACUCCAUCUCAAAAAAAAAAAACUCUCAACGCAUUUUAGUGUAAUGUCAGAUUCUUUUUUUUUUUUUUUUUUGAGACAGAGUUUCGCCCUUGUUGCCCAGACAAGUGCAGUGGUACAAUCUCGGCUCACUGCAACCUCCGCCUCCCUGGUUCAAGUGAUUCUCCUGCCUCAGCCUCCCGAGUAGCUGCAAUUACAGGCAUGCACCACCACACCUGGCUAAUUUUUGUAUUAGUAGUAGAGAUGGGGGCUUCACCAUGUUGGUCAGGCUGGUCUCGAACUCCUGACCUCAGAUGAUCCACCCACCUCAGCCUCCCAAAGUGCUGGGAUUGCAGGUGUGAGCCACAAUGCCCGGCCUGUAAUAUCAGAUUCUAUGAAGGGCCUAUGCAACUUAUUUGUGUCCUCCAACUGCUAGAUAUGUCUUUAAAUGCAUUAGCUAGAAAGGGCUUUGGUUAUGCUCAAAAUUGCCCAGUUUAAUUUUACUAAAUGUAGUGUAGUAGAUGUAACUGGAGGUAGUUUCCUGGCUUACAGUUCUCCCAGCAGCCACAUUCAUGCUACACUUUUUUCUAAUAAUAGGCUCAAUUCCAAAUCAUGGAGGUGGGCAAGUGACCCAGGUAGAUCAAUUAUAAUGCCUCAUUCCUCUAGCCUGUGAUUAGUCCACAUAGUGGACACAUGACCCAAGCUGGGCUUGAUCAGCCUUUCUCCAUGGAGGGAAGAAUAAAGCUAACAGGAAAAGAGCAGCAGAGAUAAGAGACUGACAGUUUUUAAAUUCCUGGCUCUAGUCACUCCAGCACUUUCAUGGUUUGAGAACAUCAGCCAAUAAAGGCCUCCUU